rnacentral:lncRNA from 1 species
UUCAGAAGAACCACAGUCAUUGCUAUCCGUAACAUACUCCUCGUCUAAAUCCUCACCGUCAACGUCCAUGUCUUCCAUUGGUCUAGCAAGUGUAGCAGUGGUGAUACGAGAGGUGGGUCAUCCUGCACAAAGUCUAACUGCCCAGAUCCACCGCCAUCGAUAUCACUGACCUCCGCAGAAAGCUCCAUCACUUGUUCCACCAUGAUUAUCC